GUGGGGAAUAUUGGACAAUGGGCGAAAGCCUGAUCCAGCCAUGCCGCGUGUGUGAAGAAGGUCUUCGGAUUGUAAAGCACUUUAAGUUGGGAGGAAGGGCAGUGAGUUAAUACCUUGCUGUUUUGACGUUACCGACAGAAUAAGCACCGGCUAACUUCGUGCCAGCAGCCGCGGUAAUACGAAGGGUGCAAGCGUUAAUCGGAAUUACUGGGCGUAAAGCGCGCGUAGGUGGUUUUGUAAGUUGGAGGUGAAAUCCCCGGGCUCAACCUGGGAACUGCCUCCAAAACUGCAUGACUAGAGUACGGUAGAGGGUAGUGGAAUUUCCUGUGUAGCGGUGAAAUGCGUAGAUAUAGGAAGGAACACCAGUGGCGAAGGCGACUACCUGGACUGAUACUGACACUGAGGUGCGAAAGCGUGGGGAGCAAACAGGAUUAGAAACCCCUGUAGUCC
rnacentral:rRNA from 1 species